rnacentral:rRNA from 8 species
GGGUUGUGAGGUUAAGCGACUAAGCGUACACGGUGGAUGCCCUGGCAGUCAGAGGCGAUGAAGGACGUGCUAAUCUGCGAUAAGCGCCGGUAAGGUGAUAUGAACCGUUAUAACCGGCGAUUUCCGAAUGGGGAAACCCAGUGUGAUUCGUCACACUAUCAUUAACUGAAUCCAUAGGUUAAUGAGGCGAACCGGGGGAACUGAAACAUCUAAGUACCCCGAGGAAAAGAAAUCAACCGAGAUUCCCCCAGUAGCGGCGAGCGAACGGGGAGGAGCCCAGAGCCUGAAUCAGCAUGUGUGUUAGUGGAAGCGUCUGGAAAGGCGCGCGAUACAGGGUGACAGCCCCGUACACAAAAGCGCAUGUGCUGUGAGCUCGAUGAGUAGGGCGGGACACGUGGUAUCCUGUCUGAAUAUGGGGGGACCAUCCUCCAAGGCUAAAUACUCCUGACUGACCGAUAGUGAACCAGUACCGUGAGGGAAAGGCGAAAAGAACCCCGGCGAGGGGAGUGAAAAAGAACCUGAAACCGUGUACGUACAAGCAGUGGGAGCACCCUUCGGGGUGUGACUGCGUACCUUUUGUAUAAUGGGUCAGCGACUUAUAUUCUGUAGCAAGGUUAACCGUAUAGGGGAGCCGGAGGGAAACCGAGUCUUAACCGGGCGUUAAGUUGCAGGGUAUAGACCCGAAACCCGGUGAUCUAGCCAUGGGCAGGUUGAAGGUUGGGUAACACUAACUGGAGGACCGAACCGACUAAUGUUGAAAAAUUAGCGGAUGACCUGUGGCUGGGGGUGAAAGGCCAAUCAAACCGGGAGAUAGCUGGUUCUCCCCGAAAGCUAUUUAGGUAGCGCCUCGUGAAUUCAUCUCCGGGGGUAGAGCACUGUUUCGGCUAGGGGGCCAUCCCGGCUUACCAACCCGAUGCAAACUGCGAAUACCGGAGAAUGUUAUCACGGGAGACACACGGCGGGUGCUAACGUCCGUCGUGAAGAGGGAAACAACCCAGACCGCCAGCUAAGGUCCCAAAGUCAUGGUUAAGUGGGAAACGAUGUGGGAAGGCCCAGACAGCCAGGAUGUUGGCUUAGAAGCAGCCAUCAUUUAAAGAAAGCGUAAUAGCUCACUGGUCGAGUCGGCCUGCGCGGAAGAUGUAACGGGGCUAAACCAUGCACCGAAGCUGCGGCAGCGACGCUGAUGCGUUGUUGGGUAGGGGAGCGUUCUGUAAGCCUGCGAAGGUGACCUGUGAGGGUUGCUGGAGGUAUCAGAAGUGCGAAUGCUGACAUAAGUAACGAUAAAGCGGGUGAAAAGCCCGCUCGCCGGAAGACCAAGGGUUCCUGUCCAACGUUAAUCGGGGCAGGGUGAGUCGACCCCUAAGGCGAGGCCGAAAGGCGUAGUCGAUGGGAAACGGGUUAAUAUUCCCGUACUUGGUGUUACUGCGAAGGGGGGACGGAGAAGGCUAUGUUGGCCGGGCGACGGUUGUCCCGGUUUAAGCGUGUAGGUGUGUGUUCCAGGUAAAUCCGGUUCACUUUAACACUGAGGCGUGAUGACGAGGCACUACGGUGCUGAAGCAACAAAUGCCCUGCUUCCAGGAAAAGCCUCUAAGCAUCAGGUAACAUCAAAUCGUACCCCAAACCGACACAGGUGGUCAGGUAGAGAAUACCAAGGCGCUUGAGAGAACUCGGGUGAAGGAACUAGGCAAAAUGGUGCCGUAACUUCGGGAGAAGGCACGCUGACACGUAGGUGAAGUGAUUUACUCACGGAGCUGAAGUCAGUCGAAGAUACCAGCUGGCUGCAACUGUUUAUUAAAAACACAGCACUGUGCAAACACGAAAGUGGACGUAUACGGUGUGACGCCUGCCCGGUGCCGGAAGGUUAAUUGAUGGGGUCAGCGCAAGCGAAGCUCCUGAUCGAAGCCCCGGUAAACGGCGGCCGUAACUAUAACGGUCCUAAGGUAGCGAAAUUCCUUGUCGGGUAAGUUCCGACCUGCACGAAUGGCGUAAUGAUGGCCAGGCUGUCUCCACCCGAGACUCAGUGAAAUUGAACUCGCUGUGAAGAUGCAGUGUACCCGCGGCAAGACGGAAAGACCCCGUGAACCUUUACUAUAGCUUGACACUGAACAUUGAGCCUUGAUGUGUAGGAUAGGUGGGAGGCUUUGAAGUGUGGACGCCAGUCUGCAUGGAGCCGACCUUGAAAUACCACCCUUUAAUGUUUGAUGUUCUAACGUGGACCCGUAAUCCGGGUUGCGGACAGUGUCUGGUGGGUAGUUUGACUGGGGCGGUCUCCUCCUAAAGAGUAACGGAGGAGCACGAAGGUUGGCUAAUCCUGGUCGGACAUCAGGAGGUUAGUGCAAUGGCAUAAGCCAGCUUGACUGCGAGCGUGACGGCGCGAGCAGGUGCGAAAGCAGGUCAUAGUGAUCCGGUGGUUCUGAAUGGAAGGGCCAUCGCUCAACGGAUAAAAGGUACUCCGGGGAUAACAGGCUGAUACCGCCCAAGAGUUCAUAUCGACGGCGGUGUUUGGCACCUCGAUGUCGGCUCAUCACAUCCUGGGGCUGAAGUAGGUCCCAAGGGUAUGGCUGUUCGCCAUUUAAAGUGGUACGCGAGCUGGGUUUAGAACGUCGUGAGACAGUUCGGUCCCUAUCUGCCGUGGGCGCUGGAGAACUGAGGGGGGCUGCUCCUAGUACGAGAGGACCGGAGUGGACGCAUCACUGGUGUUCGGGUUGUCAUGCCAAUGGCACUGCCCGGUAGCUAAAUGCGGAAGAGAUAAGUGCUGAAAGCAUCUAAGCACGAAACUUGCCCCGAGAUGAGUUCUCCCUGAGACUUAGAGUCUCCUGAAGGAACGUUGAAGACGACGACGUUGAUAGGCCGGGUGUGUAAGCGCAGCGAUGCGUUGAGCUAACCGGUACUAAUGAACCGUGAGGCUUAACCUUACAACGCCGAAG